CGUGUAGGCGGGAAUACAAGUCAGAUGUGAAAUACUGCGGCUCAACUGCAGAACGGCAUCUGAAACUGUAUUUCUUGAGUACUGGAGAGGAAAGCGGAAUUCCUAGUGUAGCGGUGAAAUGCGUAGAUAUUAGGAGGGACACCGGUGGCGAAGGCGGCUUUCUGGACAGUAACUGACGCUGAGACGCGAAAGCGUGGGGAGCAAACAGGAUUAGAUACCCUGGUAGUCC
rnacentral:rRNA from 1 species